UACGGGGGGGGCAAGCGUUGUUCGGAAUUACUGGGCGUAAAGGGCUCGUAGGCGGCCAACUAAGUCAGACGUGAAAUCCCUCGGCUUAACCGGGGAACUGCGUCUGAUACUGGAUGGCUUGAGUGUGGGAGAGGGAUGCGGAAUUCCAGGUGUAGCGGUGAAAUGCGUAGAUAUCUGGAGGAACACCGGUGGCGAAGGCGGCAUCCUGGACCAUUACUGACGCUGAUGAGCGAAAGCCAGGGGAGCGAACAGG
rnacentral:rRNA from 1 species